CAGUGAAAUCGAGUAGGACGGAGCACGAGAAACUUUGUCUGAAUAUGGGGGGACCAUCCUCCAAGGCUAAAUACUACUGACUGACCGAUAGUGAACUAGUACCGUGAGGGAAAGGCGAAAAGAACCCCGGAGAGGGGAGUGAAAUAGAUCCUGAAACCGUAUGCGUACAAGCAGUGGGAGCCUACUUUGUUAGGUGACUGCGUACCUUUUGUAUAAUGGGUCAGCGACUUAUUUUCAGUGGCAAGCUUAACCGAAUAGGGGAGGCGUAGCGAAAGCGAGUCUUAAUAGGGCGUCUAGUCGCUGGGAAUAGACCCGAAACCGGGCGAUCUAUCCAUGGGCAGGUUGAAGGUUGGGUAACACUAACUGGAGGACCGAACCGACUACCGUUGAAAAGUUAGCGGAUGACCUGUGGAUCGGAGUGAAAGGCUAAUCAAGCUCGGAGAUAGCUGGUUCUCCUCGAAAGCUAUUUAGGUAGCGCCUCAUGUAUCACUGUAGGGGGUAGAGCACUGUUUCGGCUAGGGGGUCAUCCCGACUUACCAAACCGAUGCAAACUCCGAAUACCUACAAGUGCCGAGCAUGGGAGACACACGGCGGGUGCUAACGUCCGUCGUGAAAAGGGAAACAACCCAGACCGUCAGCUAAGGUCCCAAAGUUAUGGUUAAGUGGGAAACGAUGUGGGAAGGCUUAGACAGCUAGGAGGUUGGCUUAGAAGCAGCCACCCUUUAAAGAAAGCGUAAUAGCUCACUAGUCGAGUCGGCCUGCGCGGAAGAUUUAACGGGGCUCAAACCAUACACCGAAGCUACGGGUAUCACUUAGGUGAUGCGGUAGAGGAGCGUUCUGUAAGCCUGUGAAGGUGAGUUGAGAAGCUUGCUGGAGGUAUCAGAAGUGCGAAUGCUGACAUGAGUAACGACAAUGGGUGUGAAAAACACCCACGCCGAAAGACCAAGGUUUCCUGCGCAACGUUAAUCGACGCAGGGUUAGUCGGUCCCUAAGGCGAGGCUGAAAAGCGUAGUCGAUGGAAAACAGGUUAAUAUUCCUGUACUUCUG
rnacentral:rRNA from 2 species